AGUAAGUUGCCAGAGUCCGGUAAUGGCCCGCCCUGCUAAGGCGAGAGAACCGAAAGGUUGCAAGGGUUCGAAUCCCUUACUUACUG
rnacentral:tRNA from 1 species